CGCUGGCGGCACGCCUAAUACAUGCAAGUCGAACGCAGUAGCAAUACUGAGUGGCAGACGGGUGAGUAUAAUGUGGGUAUCUGCCUUUUGGUUUGGAAUAACUCGGGGAAACUUGAGCUAAUACCGAAUAAGCCUUCACAGGGAAAGCUUUAUGCGCCAAAAGAUGAGCCCGCACUUGAUUAGCUUGUUGGUGAGGUAAAGGCUCACCAAGGCAACGAUCAAUAGCUGUUCUUAGAGGAAGACCAGCCACAUUGGGACUGAGACACGGCCCAGACUCCUACGGGAGGCAGCAGUAGGGAAUCUUGCACAAUGGGGGAAACCCUGAUGCAGCGAUGCCGCGUGAGUGAAGAAGGCCUUUGGGUUGUAAAACUCUUUCGUCGGGGAAGAAAAUGACUGUACCCGAAUAAGAAGGUCCGGCUAACUUCGUGCCAGCAGCCGCGGUAAUACGAAGGGAUCUAGCGUAGUUCGGAAUUACUGGGCUUAAAGAGCUCGUAGGUGGUUAAAAAAGUUGAUGGUGAAAUCCCAAGGCUUAACCUUGGAACUGCCAUCAAAACUUUUUAGCUAGAGUAUGAUAGAGGAAAGUGGAAUUUCUAGUGUAGAGGUGAAAUUCGUAGAUAUUAGAAAGAACACCAAAUGCGAAGGCAACUUUCUGGAUCAUUACUGACACUGAGGAGCGAAAGCAUGGGUAGCGAAGAGGAUUAGAUACCCUCGUAGUCCAUGCUGUAAACGAUGUGUGCUAGACGUUGGAAACAUAGUUUUCAGUGUCGCAGCGAAAGCAUUAAGCACACCGCCUGGGGAG
rnacentral:rRNA from 1 species